UGUGUGUGUGUGUGUGUGUGUACUGAUUACUUCCCCUAUGUUUGAGGACCAGCACUCUUCUGCCCAAUUUCUGCAUUUUAAUCCCGGACGUUGGGAAUUUCUUCAAACAUUUUGCUGGAAUUUUAGCGCAACAGUUUCUCUUCCUGAAUUCACUGCUGCUACUGCCUUUGCCUUGGGCACUAGUAUGACCUGCCCUUUUAAAAUAUAUCUCAUAGUUUCUUCAUGACUUGCCACUGACUUCAUCAUCAGUGUCUGAAGUGUUUCCUGUGAGCUCUAAAUGAGAUGUUACAGGGAAGCCACACAGGCAACGCGGAGGGUUUCGAGAUCUGUUCUCUGCUGAAGCUCACCGAGACCAAGGCCAACAAGAGCUGGAUCACCCUGCUUCAUCACAUCCUGGAGGAGGCAGAGCUGAAUCACCCUGAGCUGCUUAACCUUGCCGAUGACAAUUACAUUGAGGCUUGUGAGAAAGACUUGUGAACCUAACAUGCUCACUGGCAUCUUUUCUUAAACAAACCCUGAGUUUCUCCCUAUCUCCUCCCUCCUGCUGAGCAGCCUUUGGACACGGGGUGUCCUUUCCUCGUUUCCCCGUCGACGUUGAAGCUAAACAUCAAUAUAACAGCAAAACAAUGAUUUCUACAGUGCAAACAGACAACAAUACUUUUAUUAAUUUUCUGAUGACAUAGGGGACCAGCUUCACGGAGGUGUGCAUCUAUGUCGCUUUUUUUUUUUUUUUUUAAGUGCUCAUACCCGCCAUAGCACAUAUCAGAACUUCUAACACCAGUGUGACGACCUUGUUUUCUCACCGGUUGUCAUGGUGACUCAUAGUAUCAGAUGUCCAUUGAUGAUGGCUUUUUAUAGUUGGCGGACAUGCACUUAACUCAAGGUGAACAUACUUAUUACUGAUUGAACUAACCUCUGAUCAGCUGUUCUGGAAUCCCAUCUCUGCAACCCCAUCUCAGGGGUUCAUCAGCUCAGAGUCCAGGGUUAGAUGCUGAGUUUGUUGAACCUGCUUUCUGGAACACCCCUGUUAUGUUGUUUCUGUGUGUAGAUGUAGUGUUUUCCCUUGUAUUUUAUAUGGAUACAAAUUGACAUUUGUCCAAUAAAAUAAUGCAUGGAUACUAGAUCGCAUAGAAAAUUAAAUGUUACACGGAAAAUACCCUAUAAAAAAUACCCUCUUUGCCUGACUAUGUAUAUAGUUUUGCCUUUGUCUGUAGUCUGCAGAGGAAGUGUGCAGCAGGAUGAAGGCUGUAUCUUCGACCACCUCCUGGCAGACAUCCACAAAGCCUUCCAGUUGAGGAAGACUCGUCCCAGGUGCAGAACUGUCAGUGCGCCCUCUAGUGAAAUGCGUAGGGAUGGUUAUCACGCUGCCACCUCUGUGUGUUGCAGGGCUUCGUAGCAACAGUAACUGAGGCUUUGAUGUUUCCUUCUCAUCCUGUCCUUUGUGUCUCUAUGAGUUUUAUGACCACCGCCAGUCACACUGCAGUGCUACUGCUACUACUCAGCAGAUGCACCCCAGAGAGAGUUCACAAUGCAGCGCCAUGAAUCUUUGGCUAUCAUCUGUAUCAGCAAGUCUGUUCUGUCAUCUUGGAUAUCCCUUGUAAUGCAGUCAGUGUAGUUCAGUGGCCCUCUGGUUCCUCUGGUUGGGCAAAGCAGUGAUGAUGUUAUGUCAGUUCAAAAUAAGCAUGGCGCUGUGGCCAGCAAACUGAGCAACAGGUCCUCGCUGACUCUGGCAUGAAUGUGGGCCAGAUGCUCUUCAGGGUCUUUCUGGGAAUACUCCCACCCUGAGCUUUUGCCCUUCUGUAGUGCAUGACAUUGGGUUUGUCUGAACUGUGUUGUUUUCAUGCCGUAACUUCUCAAUAGAUGGGCUUUUAGGGUUGCUUAGCAAAAGCCUUUCACAUUACCAAAAGAUGUUGUAAUGAAUGAUAUUGAGAAAUAUCGGAAACACUAGUAGACACAAAAUUCCUAACAUCAUGUGUAUGUUUAUCUCAUUUGUUCUUAACGCCAUGAAACAUUCGACAUUUACUUAUGUGGCAAAAAUACUUAAUUACUUAAUUUCAUAAUUGCUUACUUCUCCUUGCAGUACUGGCCUGUGGUAGACAACCCUGUGAUUAUCCUUGCACGCAUUUAUUUAGUAAUGCCUUGAAAUUCCCCAAUUAAUUAAGAGUUUAUGUUUCCCAAUGAUGUUAAUUUUUUAUUUUGACACAAGUUUCUGCUUUUCCAUUUCUAGUUCCAAAUGCAGAAAAAGGCCAGCCCCAUGCCACCCAACCCACGGUAAAAAUUGAUGUGAAAUGAAAAAUAGAAUGAUAAAGUGAUUUGAUUCAUUUAAAGCCAAUUUGAUUACAAUAGUCGUGAUGUGAUGAAAACAGAGCCAUGUUUCAUCAUUUUCAUUCAUCAUUAACAUCCCAAAGUGUCCAUUUAUCAUUUAUGGAAAGUGUCCUCAAGGGUACUUCGCCUGAAUCCUUUCUGGUUGAAUUACGUUGCUCUCAUUUUCUGAAAGAUGCAUACUGGGAGAUGUAGUUCUUGAGUGUUAAAUUUGUCAUCUCCCCCUUCUUGUGUAGCCAACCAAAUUGUAGUCACAAAGUCAAUUCACAUUAAACUUUUUACUUUACAUUUAAAAA